AGGUGGGCGCGCGCCGCCUAACGACCUUCUGCGCCGACGGUCGGCAGGCGGCGGCGAGCGAAUGGAGGCUUCGGCCCCCGGCCGGCGGCGGCGGCGGGGCUGGCGGCGGGCUCCGGUCGCGGGCUCCCCGCUCUUCCGGGCCGCGGUCGUCCUCCUGCUCUCCGCCUUCGUGGCGCGGGCGUCCCCGUCAGUUGGAUAUUUGAUUCGAUUACCGAGAGGUUUUCACUUGACCCAAGACGCGGUGAAAAUAGUGGGAUCAUCAAAUUUUCCAGUGAAAGUAUAUGUUAUGCUUCAUCAAAAGAGUCCACACGUGUUAUGUGUAACGCCACGACUGCGAAAUUCGGAAAUGAUAGAUCCAUCAUUCCAAUGGCAUGGACCAAGAGGAAAAAUUAUUUCAGAGAACAGCACUGCACAAGUGACAUCCACAGGAAGCCUCAUAUUCCAGAACUUUGAGGAGAGCAUGAGUGGAGUGUAUACAUGUUUCCUGGAGUAUAAACCUACUGUGGAAGAAAUUGUUAAAAAUCUUCAACUUAAAUAUGUUAUAUAUGCUUAUCGUGAGCCUCAUUAUUAUUACCAGUUCACAGCUCGAUAUCAUGCAGCUCCUUGCAAUAGUAUCUAUAAUAUUUCUUUUGAGAAGAAACUUCUUCAGAUUUUGAGCAAAUUGGUUCUUGACCUUUCAUGUGAAGUUUCUUUACUGAAGUCGGAAUGCCAUCGUGUUAAAAUGCAAAGAGCUGGUUUGCAAAAUGAAUUGUUCUUUACAUUUUCAGUUUCAUCUCUAGACACUGAAAAAGGACCUAAGCCAUGUGCAGACCAUAAUUGUGAAUCUUCCAAAAGACUGUCUAAGGCUAAAAAUCUUAUAGAGAGAUUUUUUAAUCAACAAGUAGAAGUUCUAGGCAGACGUGCAGAGCCAUUGCCUGAAAUAUACUAUAUUGAAGGUACUCUCCAAAUGGUUUGGAUUAAUCGCUGCUUUCCAGGGUAUGGAAUGAAUACCCUGAAACAUCCAAAAUGUCCUGAAUGCUGUGUUUUAGGCCAUUACAAAUAAAGCUGCUAUGAACAUUCCUGUACAAGUCUUUGUGUGGACAUAUGUUUUCAGUUCUCCUGGGAAAAUACCUAUGACUGCGAUUGCUGGGUCAUACGUGAUCUGCAGUCCUGGGUCUUAUAACCCCCGCGAUGGAACCCACUGCCUUCAGUGCAACAGCAGCCUGGCGUUUGGAGCAAAAGCAUGCUU